GAAGGCCUGCAGCUUGUCCUAGAACCAUGCAAGAGGGACCAUUGAAGCUGAAGGUGGAUUGCUGUUGGGUGGAAAGGAUGUAGUCACUCAAAAAUGCUGCCAGAAGAAGAGCAAGAGAAAAGAACAAUAGCUUCUCCCGUGAGACAAUCUCAUCCCUCCACUAGUGUCUUCUCUUGGAAUGAUCUAUUGUGCUCUGAGUGGGUAGAAAACAUGAUGGCAAGUGUAUGGUGCUGAAUCAAGGUAAAAGAGGAAAUGAUUAUGUACUCACAGAGGGUGGAACAUAAAGGUGAUUGGAAAGAAUCAGGAUGUCAGAUUGUGUUGGAUUAGUCUUCCAGCCUUCACUGAGGUCUACAGUAUAGAUACUGGAUUGGCUUAAAUUGAACGUUCUGCAAAUAAGAGAAGGUAUAUUCUUGUCCAAGAGGAUGUGGUAUCUACAUAUAGGAGGAAAGAUAUACGUGUACAUGUGGUGGCUGAACCAUUUGAUUGUGGAUCAGGAUACAUAAGCAGCAAGUUCAAAGACUGAAGGAACAAGGAAUAUCAGCUCAUAAAGAUGAGAAAGAAUCAGAGCAAGAACUCUGGCAACUCAAAAGCCAAGGUGUCUUCUUACCUCCAAACAACCAUAUUAUUUCGUUAGCAACGAUUCUUAACCAGACUGAGAUUGCUGAAGUAACAUAAGCAGAAUUCAAAUAUAGAUAGAAAUGAAGAUCACUGACAUACUGGAGGAAAUCAAAACCCAAUUCCAGGAUUUUUAAGAUUUUUGUUUUUUGAGAUGGAGUCUUGCUCUGUUGUUGCCCAGGCUGGAGUGCAGUGUUGCGGUCUCGGCUCACUGCAACCUCCGCCUCCCGGGUUCAAGCGAUUCUUCUGCCUCAGCCUCCCGAGUAGCUGGGACUACAGGCAUGUGCCACCACACCUGGCUAAUUUUUGUAUUUUUAGUAGAGAUGGGGUUUCACCAUAUUGGCCAGGCUGGUCUCGAACAUCUGACCUUAUGAUCCACCUGCCUCAGCCUUCCAAAGUGCUGGGAUUACAGGCACAGUCGGCCAAUAUUUUUAUAUACCAGAUUAUGUCACUAGUAAAUAGAGAUAAUUUCACUGUCUCCUUUUCAAUCUGGAGGCAUUUUCUUCCUUCCUUUUUCCCUUCCCUUCUCUCCCCUCCCCUCCCCUUCCCUCCUGUUUUUCUUUCUACUUACUUUCUUACUUUUGCCUCUUUGUCUUGGUUAGAAUUUCCAGUAUGAUGUUAAAUAACAAUGGAAAGAGCAGUUAUCCUUGUCUUGUUCCUCAUUUUAGAGGCUUAACCCUGGAGUUUUUGUCUAUGCCCCUUGUGAAGUUUAAAAAGUUUUUCCCAAUCAUAGUUUGUUGAUGGUUCUUAUAAUGACAGAGCAUUUGAUUUGAUUAAGUGGUUUUUUCUGCUUUUAUUGCAAUGAUGUUGUGAUUUUUGCUUUUUAACUAUUGAUAUGGUGGGUUACAUUGAUUGAUUUCAGAUAUUAAGCCAACUUUGCAUUUCUGG
ensembl:lncRNA CTNNA2-AS1 CTNNA2 antisense RNA 1